rnacentral:rRNA from 1 species
GACGAACGCUGGCGGCGUGCCUAAUACAUGCAAGUAGAACGCUGAAGAGAGGAGCUUGCUCUUCUUGGAUGAGUUGCGAACGGGUGAGUAACGCGUAGGUAACCUGCCUUGUAGCGGGGGAUAACUAUUGGAAACGAUAGCUAAUACCGCAUAACAAUGGAUGACACAUGUCAUUUAUUUGAAAGGGGCAAUUGCUCCACUACAAGGUGGACCUGCGUUGUAUUAGCUAGUAGGUGAGGUAAUGGCUCACCUAGGCGACGAUACAUAGCCGACCUGAGAGGGUGAUCGGCCGCACUGGGACUGAGACACGGCCCAGACUCCUACGGGAGGCAGCAGUAGGGAAUCUUCGGCAAGGGGGGCAACCCUGACCGCGCAACGCCGCGUGAGUGAAGAAGGUUUUCGGAUCGUAAAGCUCGGUUGUAAGUCAAGAACGGGUGUGAGAGUGGAAAGUUCACACUGUGACGGUAGCUGACCAGAAAGGGACGGCUAACUACGUG